UACAGCCAUAUCACGAUAAAACACCGGUUCCCGUAUGACCACCGAAGUUAAGCAACGUCGAGCCUAGUCAGUACCUAGAUUACCUAGAUUAGUGACCGCGUGGGAAUAUCAGGUGCUGUAAG